GGGUUGUGAGGUUAAGCGACUAAGCGUACACGGUGGAUGCCCUGGCAGUCAGAGGCGAUGAAGGACGUGCUAAUCUGCGAUAAGCGUCGGUAAGGUGAUAUGAACCGUUAUAACCGGCGAUUUCCGAAUGGGGAAACCCAGUGUGAUUCGUCACACUAUCAUUAACUGAAUCCAUAGGUUAAUGAGGCGAACCGGGGGAACUGAAACAUCUAAGUACCCCGAGGAAAAGAAAUCAACCGAGAUUCCCCCAGUAGCGGCGAGCGAACGGGGAGCAGCCCAGAGCCUGAAUCAGUGUGUGUGUUAGUGGAAGCGUCUGGAAAGGCGCGCGAUACAGGGUGACAGCCCCGUACACAAAAAUGCACAUGCUGUGAGCUCGAUGAGUAGGGCGGGACACGUGGUAUCCUGUCUGAAUAUGGGGGGACCAUCCUCCAAGGCUAAAUACUCCUGACUGACCGAUAGUGAACCAGUACCGUGAGGGAAAGGCGAAAAGAACCCCGGCGAGGGGAGUGAAAAAGAACCUGAAACCGUGUACGUACAAGCAGUGGGAGCACGCUUAGGCGUGUGACUGCGUACCUUUUGUAUAAUGGGUCAGCGACUUAUAUUCUGUAGCAAGGUUAACCGAAUAGGGGAGCCGAAGGGAAACCGAGUCUUAACUGGGCGUUAAGUUGCAGGGUAUAGACCCGAAACCCGGUGAUCUAGCCAUGGGCAGGUUGAAGGUUGGGUAACACUAACUGGAGGACCGAACCGACUAAUGUUGAAAAAUUAGCGGAUGACUUGUGGCUGGGGGUGAAAGGCCAAUCAAACCGGGAGAUAGCUGGUUCUCCCCGAAAGCUAUUUAGGUAGCGCCUCGUGAAUUCAUCUCCGGGGGUAGAGCACUGUUUCGGCAAGGGGGUCAUCCCGACUUACCAACCCGAUGCAAACUGCGAAUA
rnacentral:rRNA from 1 species